UUGAAAGGGAAACGAUUGAAGUCAGUCAUACCAACGGGAAAUCAACCUCUUGAGCUCGGUCUCGUGGGUUUUGAAGAGUUUCAAAGCCUUCGGAUUCGCGAGAUUGGGAUCUCUUGGUGUACUUUUUCGUACGGUUAGUCAACAUCGGUUUUGUAUGUCAUAAAAUGACUGGAGGAAUGUAGCUUCGAUCUCGUAUUGAAGUGUUAUAGCCUUUGGUAGAUGUGAUGUUUGAGACCGAGGAUUGCAACGGAUACCCUUCAGGGCUAUUCGUCUGAUCUCUGAUACGUUGCCUUGAUGUUGAAAGCUCGCUUAUGAUGCUAGGGUAUUACGGUCAAAAGGUUAGAACGAAUUACAUUCGUUAAGGAUGUUGACGUA
rnacentral:rRNA from 1 species